rnacentral:rRNA from 1 species
UGGGGAAUAUUGGACAAUGGGCGAAAGCCUGAUCCAGCCAUGCCGCGUGUGUGAAGAAGGUCUUCGGAUUGUAAAGCACUUUAAGUUGGGAGGAAGGGCAGUAAGCGAAUACCUUGCUGUUUUGACGUUACCGACAGAAUAAGCACCGGCUAACUCUGUGCCAGCAGCCGCGGUAAUACAGAGGGUGCAAGCGUUAAUCGGAAUUACUGGGCGUAAAGCGCGCGUAGGUGGUUCGUUAAGUUGAAUGUGAAAGCCCCGGGCUCAACCUGGGAACUGCAUCCAAUACUGGCGAGCUAGAGUAGGGCAGGGGGUGGUGGAAUUUCCUGUGUAGCGGUGAAAUGCGUAGAUAUAGGAAGGAACACCAGUGGCGAAGGCGACCACCUGGGCUCAUACUGACGCUGAGGUGCGAAAGCGUGGGGAGCAAACAGG